rnacentral:rRNA from 1 species
AGCUCCAAUAGCGUAUAUUAAAGUUGUUGUGGUUAAAAAGCUCGUAGUUGGAUCUUGGCGGUCUGAGGGCGGUUCGCUUGAUUGAGUGCUACUGCUCUAUAGGGCGUGGUUUUGCCAGAGGUCUCGGGGUGCUCUUAACCGAGUGUCCUGCGAUGCUGGCAGGUUUACUUUGAAAAAAUUAGAGUGCUCAAAGCAGGCUUUUACGCCUGAAUAUUCGUGCAUGGAAUAAUAGAAUAGGAAGUCGUUUCUAUUUUGUUGGUUUUCGGAAAUCGACGUAAUGAUUAAUAGGGACAUUUGUAUUCAAACGACAGAGGUGAAAUUCUUGGACCGUUUGAAGACAAACUACUGCGAAAGCAUUUGCCAAGAAUGUUUGAA